CCCGCUGAACUUAAGCAUAUCAAUAAGCGGAGGAAAAGAAACUAACAAGGAUUCCCCUAGUAACUGCGAGUGAAGCGGGAAAAGCUCAAAUUUGAAAUCUGGCCUCUUUGAGGAAAAUGUAGUAGGGUUGUGGAGUAUAGAGUCCUUUGCGAUGGAAUCCUGGGUAUAAGUCUAUUGGAACAAGGUAUCAUAGAAGGUGAGAAUCUCGGCUUUGACUCAGAGUUUUCCAUUAUGUGAUGACGUCUUCAUAGAAGCUAGUUGUUUGGGAAUGCAGCUCAAAAUGGGUGGUAAAUCUCAUCUAAAGCUAAAUAUUAGCGAGAGACCGAUAGCAAACACCGACAGUGAGGGAAAGAUGAAAAGAACUUUGAAAGAGAGUUAAACAGUACGUGAAAUUGUUGAAAGGGAAACGUUUGAAGUCAGUCAUUUCUUCUGGAAAUCUGCCUUGUGUUUGCAUGGUGUAUUUUCCAGAAGAAAGGUUAACGUCAAUUUUGGUUGUCGGAUAAGAGCCUUUGGAAUUUGGCUCUCUUCGGGGAGUGUUAUAGCCAAGGCCACUUCGAUGACUGGGAUUGAGGAUUGGCCGCCAAUGCUCUCUGGGCACGGGCAUCAUACGCUCAGGUUAACUCUCCGCUAGACAGCUUGCUGACUAGUAGUUCGAAGAUAUGACUGGUGUGGUUCCCACUCACGGGCGUAGGACGCUAACAUAAUGGCUUUAAACGACCCGUCUUGAAACACGG
rnacentral:rRNA from 1 species